rnacentral:rRNA from 1 species
GUCGAACGGUGAAGGAGAGCUUGCUCUCUGGAUCAGUGGCGAACGGGUGAGUAACACGUGAGCAAUCUGCCCCUGACUCUGGGAUAACAGUUGGAAACAGCUGCUAAUACCGGAUACGAGCUUCGAAGGCAUCUUCAGAAGCUGGAAAGAACUUCGGUCAGGGAUGAGCUCGCGGCCUAUCAGCUAGUUGGUGAGGUAAUGGCUCACCAAGGCGUCGACGGGUAGCCGGCCUGAGAGGGUGACCGGCCACACUGGGACUGAGACACGGCCCAGACUCCUACGGGAGGCAGCAGUGGGGAAUAUUGCACAAUGGGCGCAAGCCUGAUGCAGCAACGCCGCGUGAGGGACGACGGCCUUCGGGUUGUAAACCUCUUUUAGCAGGGAAGAAGCGAAAGUGACGGUACCUGCAGAAAAAGCGCCGGCUAACUACGUGCCAGCAGCCGCGGUAAUACGUAGGGCGCAAGCGUUAUCCGGAAUUAUUGGGCGUAAAGAGCUCGUAGGCGGUUUGUCGCGUCUGCUGUGAAAACUGGAGGCUCAACCUCCAGCCUGCAGUGGGUACGGGCAGACUAGAGUGCGGUAGGGGAGAUUGGAAUUCCUGGUGUAGCGGUGGAAUGCGCAGAUAUCAGGAGGAACACCGAUGGCGAAGGCAGAUCUCUGGGCCGUAACUGACGCUGAGGAGCGAAAGGGUGGGGAGCAAACAGGCUUAGAUACCCUGGUAGUCCACCCCGUAAACGUUGGGAACUAGUUGUGGGGUCCAUUCCACGGAUUCCGUGACGCAGCUAACGCAUUAAGUUCCCCGCCUGGGGAGUACGGCCGCAAGGU